UGCGUAGGCGGAUUAAUAAGUCAGUGGUGAAAUCUCUCGGCUCAACCGGGAAACUGCCAUUGAUACUGUUAAUCUUGAGUUCGGUUGAGGUAGGCGGAAUGUGUAAUGUAGCGGUGAAAUGCUUAGAUAUUACACAGAACACCGAUUGCGUAGGCAGCUUACUAGACCGACACUGACGCUGAGGCACGAAAGCGUGGGUAGCGAACAGGAUUAGAUACCCUGGUAGUCC
rnacentral:rRNA from 1 species